GUUUAGUUGGACACUUCACGUUAGAAUGCAGUUGCAGGCUUACAUUCCCCAUGGGUAACUUUCUGUUUCCAUCUAUACGUGCUGUGAUGUAUGUAUGCUACAUAUGUUAUGUAUUCUCUGCAAUAAAUUCUUUUUGUGUUUAAUAGCAUCAUGUCGACGGCAGAAGGGACAUUAUCAUCCGUUGCUUAUUUGAGUAUCUUGGAGAGAGUGGAGAGGAGCUGAUCAAAGACUAUCAGGACGUCAGCCAAGAAGCAGUGAAAGAGGACUGCAGUAAUCACAUGAUGCAGAUCAACGUCAUCCAUCCCAAUGUGGCACAGGAAAUCCAAGAUCCUGUGUAUGUGUCAGUCAUCAUCAAGUGUGACAAACGCUUGCCUCCUGCUCAUGGGUGUCAUCUAUGCUGUAAACUUAAGUUACCCACUUAAACUGAAAUAUACGUUUGAAGUAUUUCAGAAGCUGUUUCUUGAGCUUGACGUCAUUACAAUGUCACCAAAGGUCCAGUUUCUCCACAAUAAACUUUUAGCGUGAGCGUUCCAGUGCUAUUUGUGCUUUUGUCCAGCACAAACAAUCUCUUUACUUUUGUCAUUUUUCUGACUGAAAUUUCAAGUUUUGCUUAGUUUUUAAGUUAUUUCUGUCCUGAACAUCCUGAGAAUGUCUGCAAAGGUAGCCAUUGCAGUUUAUGUAUGCAUUCUUUGCUGUUCUGAAAAGUCAACUGUAACACUGUAUUUGUUUGUAUGCUGGAAUAUCAGUCCUAAAGUCAGUUGGUGCUUUGUCAUUCCGCAUUGAAUUUUUCAAAUCCUAAACGGCUUUACUUUUGAGCUUUUGUGUGCGUGUGUGUGUGUGUGUACACUGUUUUCAAAUUUGCUAGCAGGAAGUUCUGUGUGGUUAUGUUAUGUAUUUUAAAUACAUCUAUGCCAUUUCAAAUGUGAAAUAAAAGUGUAUUUCAAACAUCC